UUUUUCCUCAUUUUUCCAAUCUCCCUCACGAAGCUCUCUCUCUCUCUACUCUCUCCCCUCUUUUCUUCCUCUCUGCUUCCUCUCUUCCUUCUCUUCUCCCUCUCUGCUUCCUCUCUGUAACCCCUCCCAAAUGAAACCCUAGUUACUCCUGAGUCUCAUUCUCGCUUCUCUGAUCAAAAACCUCUGAGAGACCUAGUUCUACCUGCAAAACCCCCCCACUCAUCUCUUCUCUCUCUCUCUCUGUGUCUCUUCUCAAACUUCAGUUCUCUUCCCCAGCUCUGCAACUCAUGAAACCUUACGGUUUCAUACCUCUCCGUAACCUCCACCGUCAAACCCCUUUUCUGCUCUCGAGCAACACCAUUCUGAAACCCUAGGGUUUCCUGCAACUCUAAACCCUACCUCGUCUCAGUUCCCUCUCGCAAACAGAAUACCCUAGCUUCCUACUUCCCUUUCUCAACUCUCCUCAACACUUUCUCCAAAGAGGAAGUCCCAAAAGCCCUAACUUCGAACAGGUCGCUUCACUGAGAUCUCAAACCCUCAAGGUCAGAUCCAUCACUUUGGGGUCCUUCAGUGAGACUAUGGUGCAUCAGCGAACACCCGGGGGUGUUUCGAAACAGAGGGUCCACAUAAACCUCAGGGAAGCUCUUUCGACUUCCAAAAUGGUCACCAGGAAAAGAUAAGUUCCUAUUUUAUUUUUUAAAAAAAAUUAUAUUUUUUAUGUGUAUGAUCUUUGAGUGUGAUGUUAUUUGUGAUCUGUAUGUGGUUGUUUUGAUGAUCAUGGGUCUCAGAUUAGUUAAGGGUUUGGUUGCAAUAUUAGGGUCGAAGACGACUUACCUUGUCUCAACCCAAUGGGUCAAACCUGGGUUGACUCGUGUGAGUCAAACCCCUGGGGCGUGUUGACUCGGGUAAACCCGAGUGAGUUUGACACAGGUGGGCUUUGGGUUGAUUUAGAAAUGGGCCCAGCAUUAAAAUUUUUUAAAAGCGGGCAUUGGGUUAAUUUGAAAACAGGCCCAGGGUUAAUUUUUAAAAUGGGCCCAUGGUUAAUUUUUAAAACGAGCCCAUGGUUAAUUUCUAAAACGGGCCUCAGGGCUUUAUUUUUAAAAUGGGCACAGGGUUAAUUUAGAAAACAAGCCUGGGGCUUUAAAAUUAAACAUGGGCCUGGGGUUUGGAAUUUAAAUGGGGCCUAGGGUUUUACGAUUAAACACGGGCCUAGGGUUUGGAAUUUAAACCUAGGUUUGGGGUUCGGACGCUAAACUGGGCCUGGGGUUUGGGUGAUUCAGAUGGAAAGUUGGGAUUCAGUCUAAAGGGCUUGACCCAAGUUCGGGUGCAGGUUCGGGUUCGGUAGGGACUCAGGUCUCUGAUUCGGGGGUUUGUUUCAAAGGUUCAAACCCCAAUUCGGGUUUGGGUUCGAGUCAGGGGAUUUGAACCCCAGUUCGGGGUUCUGGUUUGGGACACUUGGUGCCUCAACUCUGAUUCAAAUGCGAAUCUGAGGCUGAGAUGUGGGUACCUGCAUCCAUGUUAGCAUACACAGGGCAUCAUGUAGAUGGUAGAGACAGGGUAGAGGGCUUUAAGUUUUACCUUUCCCUUUCCUCUCCUCCGUUCUUCUUUUCCCAUGGUUAGGGCUGUUCAGAAUGGACCACUUGGCUCUGCUUCUGAGCUCGGGGGAUCACUGCAGCUAUUGCAGUUAGUCUGAGAAUGGCUUCUCAAUCUUCCCGAUUCUACCUUGCUGAUAAUUACUCUCUCUCACUUAGCGCCCAGACGCCCUCUCACGGGAACCAGAGAGCAGUUCCUUUAUUCCCGAGAGGGAAUAUCAUAACCAAAUUCCUUCUGCGCAUGCUUUUCCUUUUUAUUUAUUUUUCUGAAGUUUCAGUUAGCCUCUAACAAACUGAAUCUCUUCUCUUUAUUUGUUUUUAGGUGAACAAGGGGCUUCAUGGACGUUCCAACUAUUCCAGUUAGCAGCCAAAGAUUGGUUUUGCUCCCUUUUUUUUUUUUUUUUUUUUGAAAAAAAAAAAAGAUUUUCCUUGUAUUUUGUAAUAUUCUGCAUUUUCUUUCCCUGUAUUUGGUAUUUUCCUGUAUGUAUUUCCUUUCCCGUAAGAGUUUGGUAUUUCCCUGUAUUUCUUUCAUCUCCCUGUAUGAAUUUGGUAUUUCCCUGUAUUUCUUUUAGUUUGUAAUCUCUUCCUGCAUGCACAUUUUUUUUGUUUUUCCCAAUAUGUAUUGGCGAAGCAGUUUGCCAACUCCCUCUGUAAUCCCACUUAAGUCAUGUGCCCUUUUUUUUUAAUCUAAUAAAGUGCAUUUUUCCACAUCAAA